UACAGAGGUGCCAAGCGUUAGGCGGAAUCACUGGGCUUAAAGCGUGUGUAGGCGGACGCCUAAGUGUCUUGUGAAAUCCCACGGCUCACCCGUGGAACUGCUGGGCAUACUGGGCGUCUUGGGCCAACUAGGGGCAGCCGGAACAAGCGGUGGAGCGGUGAAAAUGCGUAGAUAUCGCUUGGAACGCCGAAGGUGAAAACAGGCUGCUGGGGUUGCGCCGACGCUGAGACACGAAAGCCAGGGGAGCAAACGGG
rnacentral:rRNA from 1 species